rnacentral:lncRNA from 1 species
AGAGAUCGGAUCUGAUAGCAGCACUGGCAAACGUACAGGCCAGUUCUUCGGAGUUUGAUAUUUUGAAACACUGCAAAAAGAAAAAAGCAAAAACCAAGCAGAAACCUGACAGAGGUGGGACCACUGACGGUGCGCUGAGUGACGUCAGGUUGGGGUCUGACCACAAGGGACAACAGCAGCUGAAAGAAGAGGAGGAAGAAGAAGAAGACAACGAGGAGGAGGAGGAGGAAGAAGAAGACGACAAGAGUGAAUCUGAACAUUCAGUGUGCAACAGUGAUGAGGAAGAUGGGGAGGAAGAAGAAUCUGAUGCUGAGAAGACUCCUCUGAAAACAUCAAAAGGAUUGGGUAAAACCGAUGGAAACAAAAA